rnacentral:lncRNA from 1 species
AUAGAUUUCACUAAAACCAUACAAAAUACGUUAUUGACCCUUUCAUUUCAUCAAAUAUACAUAAACAUUUUGUGUGUACUAUUAAUAAAUAGUGUAAGAAAGUACAGUGAGUACAAUAGUGAACUGACCAAACGGUCAGAAGACGAUAAAGGGAGAACUCCUAUAAUAUCCGUUACAUAGCUGUUGUAGUUCGUGUUACUUGUGUACAAAAAGACCAUUGCAAUUGAUAUAAUGGCAAAUAGAGCAAUUCUUAGUGGCAUCAUAACAGGUAUGU